UACUGACUGACUUGAGGUUUGCUUUCUCACUUGUAAUGAGAUAUACCUGUAUGCUCUUCCAGACACUGCAUGCACUUCUGAGGAGUUGUGUAUAAAAUGGGUGACCUACCACUGUGGCCGCUGUGUAGAAUGGAACAUUUAGACUCUCAAACCAAGCCUUCAGAAGCACCCAUAAGAUAAUGGAGCACUAUCAGAGCCCCAUUAAAUGUGGCCCACCCUACUACCAGGUACUUCGAAGAAUAUGUCAGGCCCCAGGACUCUGAGAUUCCACUGACUACCUCUGCAGCACUGGAAGAGGCUGAGAAGGCUUCUCGCUCCCAGCCCUGGUGUGAAAGCCCAGCCUGGUUCUACUUGAGAAGGACAGACAGACAGGUUGGGGCCACAAUGGCUUGGGUGCCAUCCUCUGAGAAUUCCUGCUUCCUUCUGUCUGGAUCAGACCAUGUCAAACAAGAUGAUUUCUUUGUCUUUCUCCUCUGGGGACCAGUCUGAUUGCUUUCUGAGCAAACCAGGAUGGAUUCUGACUCUGCGUAUGGAACUGUUAUGAGGAAUGGAGAUUUCUGGAAGUCUCUUGGAGAGAGAGUGCCCUGCAUGGAGAGGCCUAGA